AAAAGCCCGGAUAUCGAGAAGGCGCGCUUAGUCUGAGGCCCAGAGGAACGCGCUGCCGAGACCGCUGGGAAACGGCGCCCAGCAAUACGCAGGCGCAGACUCUUGGCCGGUGGCCGAAGGUGAAUAGACUCCAGCUCCAAUGGAUUGGGACCUGGGAAAGAAAAAAGUCAGAGACAAGAUGAAGCCAACAUGAGUGAUACUACUAUAAUUUAGCCUUUGCUGUUUUAGAAAUUGUCUGUUUUCUAAAGAGGAGUGCAAAGGAAAGACUGGUCUUCUCUUGCAUAUCUCAAAAUCAUGGCUCAGAUAAUCCUAUUUAAAAAAAAAAAAAAAACGACUAAUUGCUAUGGCUUUGAUCUGGAAUGCCCCUCAAAGGUUCACGUAUUGAAAACAUCAUCCCCGCUGCAGCAAUGUCUACAGGUGGGGCUUUUGGGAAGUGACUGGAUCAUAAGAGCUCAGACCUCAUCAGUGGGUUAAUCCAUUGAUGGCCAAAUAGACUAUGGAGGUGGGGACUUAGCUGGAGGAUGUAAGGUCACUGGUGUGUACCCUGGAAGAGUGUAUUUUCUCCUGGCUCCUUCUUGCUUCCUAGCUACCAUGAGCUGAGCAGCCUUCCUCUACUGCAUCCUUCUGCCUGAGAGUCAGCUAACCAUGGACUGAAUCCUCUGGAACCAUGAGCCAAAAUAAACUUUUCCUCCUCUAAGUUCAUGUUAGGUCUUUUGGUCACAGCAACAAAAAGCUGACUAACACCAAUUUAGUUCCAUUUUUGCAGAGAAAAUAUACGUAAUUCAUCUUUAUUAUAUUGAGACUUGUUUAGCAAAUGGUCUACUUGCUCUUAAAAAAUGUGUUGAGAAAUUACUGAAAGUUUUCUAUCAAUGUCAAAUGAGUUUAGAUGAUUGUAAUUUUUAGAUAUUCUAAAUCUUUACAUAUUUUUCUCCCUUAGUCUUCAUUCUCGGUUACCAACAAACAUAUUAACACCAAUCACAAUUUUGAACCUUUAAAAAAUCUUGUUUAGCCACACACAAUAGUACAUGCUUGUAAUCCCAUCAUCUCAGGAGGCUGAGGCAGGAGGAUCAUGAGUUCAAAUCCAGCUUUAGCAAUUUAGUGAGGCAACUCAAUGAGAUUCUAUUUCUAAAUAAAAUAUUAAAAAAGAGGUGGGGAUGUGGCUCAGUAUUUAAACACCUCUGAGUUCAAUCUGCUCUGUAUUUAAACACCUCUGAGUUCAAUCCUCAGUACCUCCCCCAAAAAAAAACUUGUUUAAAUUUUAUCAAUUGCAACUCUGUGCCUAUGCAUUUGUGAUUUCAUUUUCCUGAUGUGUUUACUCUUUUAUUGUUAUAAAAUUUUAUUAUUGUGUCUCUAAUAAUAACAUUCUUCAACUCAGAAUCUGUUUUGUCUUUUGAUUAUCAUUAUCAGUUCAUCUUUCCCCAUUGUAUUUCCCAUAUAUGUAUUUGUGUAUUAUAUCUUUU
rnacentral:lncRNA from 1 species